rnacentral:tRNA from 1 species
GAGGCUAUAGCUUAAUUAAAGUGUCUGAGUUGCAUUCAGAGGAUGUGUAUUAGGUUAUACUGGUCUUC